AUAUAUAUAUAUAUAUGAUAUUAACACACACUCAUUGCACUUUAUCCCUUUCCCGAACAACGAGUACAACAAGUCCGCUCUUUUACGAUUGGAAUGGAAGUGUUUCCUGAAGUGUGACGUAGUGAGCAAUGACACAUUUUUAAUUUUUUUUUUAAAUAAUUGGGAGAAGUGGGAGGAUAUACCUUUUUAUACUGGCUCUAGCAUUGUCCUCAUGAUGAGAUUCACUAUUUAUCAGUCAAGAAUCAUGAAGUUGUCAUAAUUUUGCUAUAUUGGUGUCACGUGAUAAUCUUAGGUAAUACCCCUUGACCAUGAGCUUGACUGAUUAAAAUGCUGCCUAGAAACCCAUUUAAUUAUUGCAGUUUGAAUUAAUUCCACAUACCUUGUGUUUGAAGGAUUGAACUGCACUAGUUGAUUAACCUGCACUUCCCUUCUACUCAAAUGUUCAACUUC
rnacentral:misc_RNA from 1 species